AGCAAAUAGUGUAAUGUAGAAAAAGGUAAGAUGUCAUCAGAUGAAGGCCCACUGACUCACAGUGAAAAUAAGACUUACGUCCCAUUGAGAACGUAUAUAUUGUUUUUGUUGACUGAAAUGAGGGAGAAACUUACUUAGCAAAGUGGUCAAUGUGGGGGAAAAAAUUCCCACUUUGAAGUUUCAGCUGUUUCUAAGAUACUUGAAAUAACUUUGACAGUCUACUUUUAUGCCAUAUUUUGCUCAUUUUUGCUAUAUUUGGACUUUGACUCAUAUGCAUAUUAUUGGUCAGAUUUACUGAC
rnacentral:lncRNA from 1 species